rnacentral:rRNA from 1 species
UACGAAGGGUGCAAACGUUGCCCGGAAUUAUUGGGCGUAAAGAGCACGUAGGCGGCUUGGCAAGUCGGAUGUGAAAUCCCUCGGCUCAACCAAGGAAGUGCAUCCGAAACUGCUGAGCUUGAGUACUUAAGAGGAUCGCGGAAUUCCCGGUGUAGAGGUGAAAUUCGUAGAUAUCGGGAGGAACACCAGUGGCGAAGGCGGCUUUCUGGGCCUUUCCUGACGCUGAGACGCGAAAGCGUGGGGAGCGAACCGG